rnacentral:rRNA from 1 species
GAUGAACGCUGGCGGCGUGCCUAAUACAUGCAAGUCGAGCGAACGGACGAGAAGCUUGCUUCUCUGAUGUUAGCGGCGGACGGGUGAGUAACACGUGGAUAACCUACCUAUAAGACUGGGAUAACUUCGGGAAACCGGAGCUAAUACCGGAUAAUAUUUUGAACCGCAUGGUUCAAAAGUGAAAGACGGUCUUGCUGUCACUUAUAGAUGGAUCCGCGCUGCAUUAGCUAGUUGGUAAGGUAACGGCUUACCAAGGCAACGAUGCAUAGCCGACCUGAGAGGGUGAUCGGCCACACUGGAACUGAAACACGGUCCAGACUCCUACGGGAGGCAGCAGUAGGGAAUCUUCCGCAAUGGGCGAAAGCCUGACGGAGCAACGCCGCGUGAGUGAUGAAGGUCUUGGGAUCGUAAAACUCUGUUAUUAGGGAAGAACAUAUGUGUAAGUAACUGUACACAUCUUGACGGUACCUAAUCAGAAAGCCACGGCUAACUACGUG